UGAAGCGGUAACAGCUCAAAUUUGAAAGCUAGCUCUUUUAGGGUUCGCAUUGUAAUUUGUAGAAGAUGCUUCGGGUGUGGCCCCGGUCUAAGUUCCUUGGAACAGGACGUCAUAGAGGGUGAGAAUCCCGUAUGUGACUGGGUGCUUUCGCUCAUGUGAAGCUCUUUCGACGAGUCGAGUUGUUUGGGAAUGCAGCUCAAAAUGGGUGGUAAAUUUCAUCUAAAGCUAAAUAUUGGCCAGAGACCGAUAGCGCACAAGUAGAGUGAUCGAAAGAUGAAAAGCACUUUGGAAAGAGAGUUAAACAGUACGUGAAAUUGUUGAAAGGGAAGCGCUUGCAACCAGACUUGCGCGCUGAUGAUCAUCCGGGCUUCUGUCCGGUGCACUCGUCUGCGCUCAGGCCAGCAUCGGUUUCGGUGGUGGGAUAAAGGCCUUGGGAAUGUAGCUCCUCUCGGGGAGUGUUAUAGCCCUCGGUGCAAUGCCGCCUAUCGGGACCGAGGACCGCGCUUCGGCUAGGAUGCUGGCGUAAUGGUUGUAAGCGACCCGUCUUGAAACACGGACCAAGGAGUCUAACAUCUAUGCGAGUGUUUGGGUGUCAAACCCAUACGCGUAAUGAAAGUGAACGGAGGUGAGAACCCUUAAGGGUGCAUCAUCGACCGGUCCUGAUGUCUUCGGAUGGAUCUGAGUAAGAGCAUAGCUGUUGGGACCCGAAAGAUGGUGAACUAUGCGUGAAUAGGGUGAAGCCAGAGGAAACUCUGGUGGAGGCUCGCAGCGGUUCUGACGUGCAAAUCGAUCG
rnacentral:rRNA from 1 species